AUACCUUUCUCGGCCUUUUGGCUAAGAUCAAGUGUAGUAUCUGUUCUUAUUAGGGGUGAGGAAAAAAAUCCGAAAACCGAAAAACCGAACCGAAAACCGAAAAACCGACCCGAAAUAUGCCGUCCCGAAGCAAGAACCGCAUAUACGGUUUUUUUUUUCCACCGAACCGAAAUUUUCGGUUCAUACUCGGUUUUUCAAGUGGUUAACCGAGCCGAUU
rnacentral:snRNA from 1 species